rnacentral:rRNA from 1 species
AGAACGAACGCUGGCGGCAGGCCUAACACAUGCAAGUCGAACGCUCGUAGCAAUACGGGAGUGGCAGACGGGUGAGUAACACGUGGGAACCUUCCCUAUGGUUCGGAAUAGCUCAGGGAAACUUGGGGUAAUACCGAAUAAGCCCUUCGGGGAAAGAUUUAUCGCCAUUGGAUGGGCCCGCGUCGGAUUAGCUAGUUGGUGGGGUAACGGCCUACCAAGGCGACGAUCCGUAGCUGGUCUGAGAGGAUGAUCAGCCACACUGGGACUGAGACACGGCCCAGACUCCUACGGGAGGCAGCAGUGGGGAAUAUUGGACAAUGGGCGCAAGCCUGAUCCAGCCAUGCCGCGUGAGUGACGAAGGUCUUCGGAUUGUAAAGCUCUUUUGGCGGGGACGAUAAUGACGGUACCGCAGAAUAAGCCCGGCUAACUUCGUGCCAGCAGCCGC